ensembl:lncRNA
AUUGGCCACUCCAAGCCCCGCCCCCUGCUCCAGCCUCUCCCAUUGGCUGCUGUGAGCCCCGCCCUCAUCUUGGAGCUUUCUCAUUGGCUGGUGCAGGCCCCACCUCCCUGUUUCAGGCUCUCCCAUUGGCUGCUCAGAGUCCCACCCCCAUUCACCCUCUCCCCUUGGUCGCUUUAAGCCCCGCCCCUCUCCUUUCCCCAUUGGCCGCUCUAAGCCCCGCCCCCAAUUUCGGCCACCGCUAUUGGCUGAAGGAAGGAGCAAGCCCCGCCCCCUCCCUCCCCAUUGGCCCGUUCCGGCCCCGCCCUCACCUCUCUGCGGCUCAGGGCUCUCCCAUUGGCUGGGUGAAGCUGAGGGCGUCGCCCAGGGCUCCCCAUUGGCUGCGGCGGCUCUGGAAGAGCCCCACCCACAGCCCCAGGCCCAGCCCCCAGAGCGCCGCGCCCAGCGCCGAGCGCAGCACGUCUGGGGAGAGCCAAAAACAGCCAAAAUUACCCCAAAAUCACCCCAAAAUCACCCCAAAACUCAACCCCAAAACCAGCCCGGCCCAGCCCCCAGAGCGCCGCGCCCAGCGCCGAGCGCAGCACGUCUGGGGAGAGCCAAAAACAGCCAAAAUUACCCCAAAAUCACCCCAAAAUCACCCCAAAACUCAACCCCAAAACCAGCCCGGCCCAGCCCCCAGAGCGCCGCGCCCAGCGCCGAGCGCAGCACGUCUGGAGAGAGCCAAAAACGGCCAAAAUUACCCCAAAAUUACCCUAAAAUCAUCCCAAAAUUCAACCCCAAAACCAGCCCGGCCCAGCCCCCAGAGCGCCGCGCCCAGCGCCGAGCGCAGCACGUCUGCAAAGGCACAAAAUCACCCCAAAAUCAGCCCCAAAAUCACCCCAAAAUCACCCCAAAAUCAUCCCAAAACCAGCCCCAAAAUCAGCCCAAAAUUACCCCAAAAUCACCCCAAAAUUCAACCCCAAAAUCAUCCCAAAAUUACCCCAAAAUCACCCCAAAAUCAUCCCAAAAUCAUCCCAAAAUCACCCCAAAAUUCAACCCCAAAACCAGCCCGGCCCAGCCCCCAGAGCGCCGCGCCCAGCGCCGAGCGCAGCACGUCUGCAAAGGCACAAAAUUACCCCAAAAUCAGCCCAAAAUUACCCCAAAAUCACCCCAAAAUCACCCCAAAAUCACCCCAAAAUCAGCCCAAAAUCAGCCCCAAAAUCACCCCAAAAUCACCCCAAAAUCAUCCCAAAAUCACCCCAAAAUCAUCCCAAAACUCAACCCCAAAACCAGCCCUGCCCAGCCCCCAGAGCGCCGCGCCCAGCGCCGAGCGCAGCACGUCUGGAGAGGGGAAAAACGGACAAAAUUACCCCAAAAUCAUCCCAAAAUCAGCCCCAAAAUCAGCAAAAAUUACCCCCAAGUCACCCCCAAAUUAACCCCAAAAUCAGCCAAAAUUACCCCCAAAUCACCCCAAAAUCACCCCAAAAUCAGCCCCAAAAUUACCCCAAAAGCACCCCAAAAUUACCCCAAAAUCACCCCAAAAUCACCCCAAAAUCAGCCCCAAAAUUACCCCAAAAUCAGCCCCAAAACCAGCCCCCAAAUCACCCCAAAAUUAUCCCAAAAUCACCCCAAAAUUACCCCAAAAUCAACUCAAAAUCAGCCCCAAAAUCAGCCCAAAAUCAGCCCAAAAAUCACCCUGAAAUCACCCCAAAAUCAGCCCCAAAAUCAGCCCCAAAAUCAACUCAAAAUCAGCCCAAAAAUCACCCUGAAAUCAGCCCAAAACAGCCCCAAAAAUCAGCCCAAAUCAGCCAAAAUUACCCCCCAAAUGAGUCAAAAUUACCCAGAAUUACCCCAAAAUCAUCCAAAAUCACCCCAAA